rnacentral:misc_RNA from 1 species
GCUGAAAAAUAAUUUCCUUCUUCGAAUUCUUUCCUUCUCCCUGCAUUUUUCCAUCCUUGUAGUAUGGCAGAAUCACUGACACAGUCUGCCCAUAAUUUGAGUACUCCAUAAACUGAACAUUAUUUGAAUUAAGAAGACUCCAGAAUUGACUAAAAUCAAUUCUAUGAGAGUUCUCAGGAUCCCACUCCGUUCCCUUCAACUUUCCACGCAUAGUUAACAAUGCCCUGCUCCAGUUGGAUGCCAUUACAAGCUGCCUCUCCAAUUGCACAUCCGCUUUCCUCUCUAAUUCUUCCAACUCGUUUACUCUCUGCCUCUCGGCCUCUUUCAAUUUCUCGAACAGCUGGGCGGACUCGGCGUCUUCUUCUUCUGAGUUAGGCGACUCCAUAACCG